rnacentral:lncRNA from 1 species
AACUGGAACUCUUUCUAGUCACUGUUUAAAUUAUCUAAUUUCCUGCUUCCUCUAUGUAGGUCAAUAAAGGGGGUCUUCCUACACAAGGUCUCUAGCACUAUCCCCUGGAUCUCUUCCAUAAAGCUUGAAGAUCAUGUCCUGUCUGUGCUUUGACUUUCUCCACAAUCAGGCAGCAUUUCCUUGUAUUAUUCUAGUGUCAUCACUGAUGUGAGAAGUCUGUGGUAGCACCAGCUGGGAGCCACUGCAUCUGUUAUGAGCUUGCUGGGUUUAUUGGUAUGAAUUUUUCUAUCUGAAGAUUAGCCCAGUACAAGAUAGCCAGAUCUGUUUUCACAACUUAGACAGACACCAGGAUUCUGUUAAUUACACACUCAGGAGAGAAUAUCUUGUUGUCGCCUAUGGAUGUAGGCAGCUGUGAACUGAUAAACAAAACCCAUGGCAGGAAUCUUAGCAGGAAUAUUGCUACCUAAAAAAUAUGACUGUGCUUCAUUAAUGAACUGAGCCCUUUUCUAG